AAUUUUGGACAAUGGGCGCAAGCCUGAUCCAGCAAUGCCGCGUGAGUGAAGAAGGCCUUCGGGUUGUAAAGCUCUUUUGUCAGGGGAGAAACGGCCGAGGCUAAUACCUUUGGCUAAUGACGGUACCUGAAGAAUAAGCACCGGCUAACUACGUGCCAGCAGCCGCGGUAAUACGUAGGGUGCAAGCGUUAAUCGGAAUUACUGGGCGUAAAGCGUGCGCAGGCGGUUUUGUAAGUCUGACGUGAAAUCCCCGGGCUCAACCUGGGAAUUGCGUUGGAGACUGCAAGGCUGGAGUCUGGCAGAGGGGGGUAGAAUUCCACGUGUAGCAGUGAAAUGCGUAGAGAUGUGGAGGAACACCGAUGGCGAAGGCAGCCCCCUGGGUCAAGACUGACGCUCAUGCACGAAAGCGUGGGGAGCAAACAGGAUUAGAUACCCUGGUAGUCCACGCCCUAAACGAUGUCUACUAGUUGUCGGGUCUUAAUUGACUUGGUAACGCAGCUAACGCGUGAAGUAGACCGCCUGGGGAGUACGGUCGCAAGAUUAAAACUCAAAGGAAUUGACGGAA
rnacentral:rRNA from 1 species